rnacentral:rRNA from 1 species
CCGGCGCACGGGAGCGUAACGCGUAUGCAAUCUACCUUUUACAGAGGGAUAGCCCAGAGAAAUUUGGAUUAAUACCUCAUAGUAUUAUUGAAUGGCAUCAUUUAAUAAUUAAAGUCACAACGGUAAAAGAUGAGCAUGCGUCCCAUUAGCUUGUUGGUAAGGUAACGGCUUACCAAGGCAACGAUGGGUAGGGGUCCUGAGAGGGAGAUCCCCCACACUGGUACUGAGACACGGACCAGACUCCUACGGGAGGCAGCAGUGAGGAAUAUUGGUCAAUGGGCGCAAGCCUGAACCAGCCAUGCCGCGUGCAGGAUGACGGUCCUAUGGAUUGUAAACUGCUUUUGUACAGGAAGAAACAGUUCUACGUGUAGAACCUUGACGGUACUGUAAGAAUAAGGAUCGGCUAACUCCGUGCCAGCAGCCGCGGUAAUACGGAGGAUCCAAGCGUUAUCCGGAAUCAUUGGGUUUAAAGGGUCCCUAAGCCGUUUUGUAAGUCAGUG